GUGGAUUAGAUACCCUAGUAGUCCACGCUGUAAACGAUGAUCACUAGGUGUGGGGGGUCUGACCCCUUCCGUGCCGCAGCUAACGCAAUAAGUGAUCCACCUGGGGAGUACGGCCGCAAGGUUGAAACUCAAAGGAAUUGACGGGGGCCCGCACAAGCAGUGGAUUAUGUGGUUUAAUUCGAAGCAACGCGAAGAACCUUACCAGGUCUUGACAUCUCCUGAAUAGCCUAGAGAUAGGUGAAGCCCUUCGGGGCAGGAAGACAGGUGGUGCAUGGUCGUCGACAACU
rnacentral:rRNA from 1 species